CCUACGGGUGGCAGCAGUGAGGAAUAUUGGUCAAUGGACGUAAGCCUGAACCAGCCAUGUCGCGUGCAGGAUGACGGUUCUAUGAGUCGUAAACCGCUUUUGUACGAGGGUAAAGUGCGAUACGUGUACCGGGUUGUAUGUACCUUAUGAAUAAGGAUCGGCUAACUCCGUGCCAGCAGCCGCGGUAAUACGGAGGAUCCGAGCGUUAUCCGGAUUUAUUGGGUUUAAAGGGUGCGUAGGCGGUCUUGUAAGUUAGCGGUGAAAUGUCGGGGCUCAACCCCGGAAUUGCCUUUGAAACUGUGAGGCUGGAGAAUGUUUGAGGUAGGCGGAAUGUGUGGUGUAGCGGUGAAAUGCUUAGAGAUCAUACAGAACACCGAUUGCGAAGGCAGCUUGCCAAGCUAUGACUGACGUUGAUGCACGAAAGCGUGGGUAUCAAACAGGAUUAGAUACCCCUGUAGUC
rnacentral:rRNA from 1 species